rnacentral:misc_RNA from 1 species
CGCCACCCUGCAACCCAUCCCUAUGGACGAGGAUUCGUUGGGUGGAGAUUGGCCUCCCGUGCGCGCUACGUGCGGAUGGCCCAAAUUAGACCCCUCGGCGACGCAUGCCACGAUCAUUGGUGGUUGAUUUCUCCGCUCACGGUUGUGCUAUGCGUUGUUGCCUACGAGUUUAUAGACCCAUCGGCACUUGUGCCAGCAUUU